rnacentral:rRNA from 1 species
AGAGUUUGAUCCUGGCUCAGAACGAACGCUGGCGGCAGGCUUAACACAUGCAAGUCGAACGCCCCGCGAGGGGAGUGGCAGACGGGUGAGUAACGCGUGGGAACAUACCCUUUCCUGCGGAAUAGCUCCGGGAAACUGGAAUUAAUACCGCAUACGCCCUACGGGGGAAAGAUUUAUCGGGGAAGGAUUGGCCCGCGUUGGAUUAGCUAGUUGGUAGGGUAAUGGCCUACCAAGGCGAUGAUGGCUAGUCGGCCUGAGAGGGUGUACGACCACACUGGAACUUAGACACGGUCCAGACUCCUACGGGAGGCAGCAGUGAGGAAUAUUGCGCAAUGGGCGAAAGCCUGACGCAGCGACGCCGCGUGAAGGAUGAAGGUCUUCGGAUUGUAAACUUCUGUUAAGUGGGAAAAAAGACUCGUCUCUAAUACAGACGAGGGAUGAUUGUACCAUUAAAGAAAGCACCGGCUAACUUCGUGCCAGCAGCCGCGGUAAUACGAAGGGUGCUAGCGUUAUUCGGAAUUAUUGGGCGUAAAGGGCGCGUAGGUGGCAUGUUAAGUUUGCUGUUAAAUCUUCCAGCCUAACUGGAAAACUGCAGCAAAAACUGGCAAGCUAGAGUGUAAGAGAGAGAAGUGGAAUUCUCGGAGUAGCGGUAAAAUGCGUAGAUCUCGAGAGGAACACCGAUGGCGAACGCAGCUUCUUGGCUUACUACUGACACUGAGGCGCGAAAGCGUGGGGAGCAAACAGGAUUAGAUACCCUGGUAGUCCACGCUGUAAACGAUGAUCACUAGAUGUUAGUUCUGCUUAGCAGAAUUAGUGUCGCAGCUAACGCGUUAAGUGAUCCGCCUGGGAAGUACGGUCGCAAGGCUAAAACUCAAAGGAAUUGACGGGGGUCCGCACAAGCGGUGGAACAUGUGGCUUAAUUCGAUACUACGCGAGAAACCUUACCUAGGCUUGACAUGCUUUUGACAUCCGUGGAAACACGGCUUUCCAAGUUCGCUUGGACAAUUGCACAGGUGCUGCAUGGCUGUCGUCAGCUCGUGUCGUGAGAUGUUUGGUUAAGUCCUCUAACGAGCGCAACUCUUGCCGUUAGUUGCUAUCCUUCGGGAGCACUCUAGCGGGACUGCCUGGGAAACCAGGAGGAAGGUGGGAAUGACGUCAAGUCCUCAUGGCCCUUAUGUCUAGGGCUACACACGUGUUACAAUGGCUGGUACAGAGGGUCGCAAGCUCGCAAGAGUAAGCUAAUCCCAGAAAGCCAGUCUAAGUUCAGAUUGGAGUCUGCAACUCGACUCCAUGAAGUUGAAAUCGCUAGUAAUCGCGCAUCAUCACGGCGCGGUGAAUACGUUCUCGGACCUUGUACACACUGCCCGUCACACCAUGAGAGCUGAUUGUACCCAAAGGCGCUUUAGCUAACCAGCAAUGGAGGCGAGCGAUAAAGGUAUGGUUAGUGAUUGGGGUGAAGUCGUAACAAGGUAAAC